rnacentral:ncRNA from 1 species
AGAGAUUAAAGGCUAAAUCACUGAAAAGUAAUGACGCAAAGCUAUUGGGAACUCUGUCAGAUUUCGACAAGAUCAGCCAGCUGCCAUC